GAUGAACGCUGGCGGCGUGCUUAACACAUGCAAGUCGAACGAGAAGUGGAGACGGAAACCUUCGGGCGGAAGACUUUACUUCGAGUGGCGGACGGGUGAGUAACGCGUGGGUAACCUGCCUCAUACAGGGGGAUAACAGUUGGAAACGACUGUUAAUACCGCAUAAGACCACAGCACCGCAUGGUGCGGGGGUAAAAACUCCGGUGGUAUGAGAUGGACCCGCGUUCGAUUAGCCAGUUGGCGGGGUAACGGCCCACCAAAGCGACGAUCGAUAGCCGAUCUGAGAGGAUGACCGGCCACAUUGGGACUGAGACACGGCCCAAACUCCUACGGGAGGCAGCAGUGGGGAAUAUUGCACAAGGGGGGAAACCCUGAUGCAGCGACGCCGCGUGAGUGAAGAAGUAUUUCGGUAUGUAAAGCUCUAUCAGCAGGGAAGAAAAUGACAGUACCUGAGUAAGAAGCCCCGGCUAACUACGUG
rnacentral:rRNA from 1 species